GAUGAACGCUGGCGGCGUGCCUAAUACAUGCAAGUCGAGCGAACAGACGAGGAGCUUGCUCCUCUGACGUUAGCGGCGGACGGGUGAGUAACACGUGGAUAACCUACCUAUAAGACUGGGAUAACUUCGGGAAACCGGAGCUAAUACCGGAUAAUAUAUUGAACCGCAUGGUUCAAUAGUGAAAGACGGUUUUGCUGUCACUUAUAGAUGGAUCCGGGCGGCAUUAGCUAGUUGGUAAGGUAACGGCUUACCAAGGCGACGAUGCGUAGCCGACCUGAGAGGGGGAUCGGCCACACUGGAACUGGGACACGGUCCAGACGCCUACGGGAGGCAGCAGUAGGGAAUCGGCCGCAAUGGGCGAAAGCCUGACGGAGCAACGCCGCGUGAGUGAUGAAGGUCUUCGGAUCGUAAAACUCUGUUAUUAGGGAAGAACAAAUGUGUAAGUAACUAUGCACGUCUUGACGGUACCUAAUCAGAAAGCCACGGCUAACUACGUG
rnacentral:rRNA from 1 species